rnacentral:lncRNA from 1 species
CGAGUCUUUAAAAGAUCCGGUUCAAACGUUAGUGUCACUUGAUCUGCGCCAUUUGCGGGUAGCCUAUUUAUUGAUUCACUGACAAGAUCCGACUCGAUCCGAAUCGGUUAUGCAAAAUGUUUGAUUCGCUCAAAAGAUUCAGUGCAAAGGAUUAAUUUGUGGCGGACUUAGACAAUUCAAAAAUACGUUUUAUUGGUGUUGUUUUACAGCACACGAUCUCAAAUUCAAUGUAUACGGUAACAUUACGUCAGGUCUUUCUUUUUAUAUAACGUUAGCUUGAUGGACGCAUCGCGUGAGCAAAUCCGCACGCGCGAGAAAUAGGUUACCAAGACACAAACCUAAUUGCCUGGAAAUCUUUUCCUUCACAUCAAACUUACUUUGGGCUUUUAGUCAUUAGUGCCAGUGCUCGAAGAUUCAACACAUUUCUUUCCCUUCUGGAUAUGUCCCUCCAGGAUUGCAAAAAACUGCAGUGCACCGAGGCCCAACACAGCCAUGGAAACACUUCACAAAACACCUGUCAGACCUGAUCCUGUUCAAACACCUGCUUCAGGAAUCACAGCCUACCAUCAGCGAGAUUAAAGACGAGCUGAGAGAGUUGCCAGUCUUCACACACAGAGAGACCUGCAGCUGGACACUUCUUGUGCUCUGAUAUGAGGACUCAUGAGUGAUGGCUGUGUGUGUUUCCUACUACCCUGACUGAAAGCCGUUAU